CUGUAAAAAUUUCAUUCAUUUGUACUGUUAAAACUUGGUGUGGCUGACAGAAUAACCGGACAGUGGCAUGUGAUUUGCCACAUGUACCUCAUACUUAUGUACAUAGACUGGUUUUGAUAGUAAAAAUAAUGAAACUUUUAA
rnacentral:pre_miRNA from 1 species